GCCGGGCGUCGUGGCGGGCGCCUAUAAUCCCAGCUACUCAGGAGGCUGAGACAGGAGAAUCGCUUGAACCCAGGAGGCGGAGGUUGCAGUGUGCCAAGAUCAUGCCACUGCACUCCAGCCUGGGCUACAGAGCGAGACUCUAUCUCAA
rnacentral:SRP_RNA from 1 species